rnacentral:rRNA from 1 species
GUGCUGGAAGGUUAAGGGGACAUGUUAGCGCAAGCGAAGCUUUGAAUUGAAGCCCCAGUAAACGGCGGCCGUAACUAUAACGGUCCUAAGGUAGCGAAAUUCCUUGUCGGGUAAGUUCCGACCCGCACGAAUGGUGUAACGAUUUGGGCGCUGUCUCAACGAGGGACCCGGUGAAAUUGAAAUACCUGUGAAGAUGCAGGUUACCCGCGACUGGACAGAAAGACCCCAUGGAGCUUUACUG